rnacentral:rRNA from 1 species
ACCCAGCAACGCCGCGUGAAGGAUGAAAUCCCUCGGGAUGUAAACUCGCAAGAACGGGAAGAAUAAGUAGGGGACAAUACCCCCUAUGAUGACGGUACCGUUUGUAAGCUCCGGCUAACUCCGUGCCAGCAGCCGCGGUAAUACGGGGGAGCAAGCGUUGUUCGGAUUUACUGGGCGUAAAGGGCGCGUAGGCGGUCAGCACAAGUCAGUUGUGAAAUCUCCGAGCUUAACUCGGAAAGGUCAACUGAUACUGUGCGACUAGAGUGCAGAAGGGGCAACUGGAAUUCUCGGUGUAGCGGUGAAAUGCGUAGAUAUCGAGAGGAACACCUGCGGCGAAGGCGGGUUGCUGGGCUGACACUGACGCUGAGGCGCGAAAGCUAGGGGAGCGAACGGGAUUAGAUACCCCGGUAGUCCUAGCCUUAAACGAUGAAUGCUUGGUGUCUGGGGUUAUAUAGUCCCCGGGUGCCGUCGCUAACGCUUUAAGCAUUCCGCCUGGGGAGUACGGUCGCAAGACUG